rnacentral:rRNA from 1 species
AGGACGAACGCUGGCGGCGUGCUUAACACAUGCAAGUCGAGCGGAAAGGCCUUUCGGGGUACUCGAGCGGCGAACGGGUGAGUAACACGUGAGUAAUCUGCCCAUCGCUUCAGGAUAGCCAUCGGAAACGGUGAUUAAUACUGGAUAUGACAUUCCUUCGCAUGUUGGGGUGUGGAAAGUUUUUCGGCGGUGGAUGUGCUCGCGGCCUAUCAGCUUGUUGGUGGGGUAAUGGCCUACCAAGGCUUUGACGGUAGCCGGCCUGAGAGGGUGACCGGCCACACUGGGACUGAGACACGGCCCAGACUCCUACGGGAGCGGCAGUGGGAAUA